rnacentral:rRNA from 1 species
GUAAGGAAUAUUGGACAAUGGGCGCAAGCCUGAUCCAGCCAUGCCGCGUGAAGGAUGAAGGCCCUAUGGGUCGUAAACUUCUUUUAUACGGGACAAAACCCCCCGAUGCGUCGGGGGUUGAUGGUACUGUAAGAAUAAGGGUCGGCUAACUUCGUGCCAGCAGCCGCGGUAAUACGAAGGACCCGAGCGUUAUCCGGAUUUAUUGGGUUUAAAGGGUGCGUAGGCGGAUUAGUAAGUCAGUGGUGAAAGCCCGUCGCUCAACGGCGGAACUGCCAUUGAUACUGCUAGUCUUGAGUAUGGUUGAGGUGGGCGGAAUGUGUCAUGUAGCGGUGAAAUGCUUAGAUAUGACCCAGAACACCAAUUGCGAAGGCAGCUCGCUAAGCCAUAACUGACGCUGAUGCACGAAAGCGUGGGGAGCAAACAGGAUUAGAAACCCCUGUAGUCC